ACUCCUACGGGAGGCAGCAGUGGGGAAUAUUGCACAAUGGGCGAAAGCCUGAUGCAGCCAUGCCGCGUGUAUGAAGAAGGCCUUCGGGUUGUAAAGUACUUUCAGUUGUGAGGAAGGGGGUAGCGUUAAUAGCGCUAUCUCUUGACGUUAGCAACAGAAGAAGCACCGGCUAACUCCGUGCCAGCAGCCGCGGUAAUAC
rnacentral:rRNA from 1 species